rnacentral:rRNA from 1 species
AUACGUAGGGGGCGAGCGUUGUCCGGAAUGAUUGGGCGUAAAGGGCGCGUAGGCGGCGCGGUAAGUCUGGAGUGAAAGUCCUGCUUUCAAGGUGGGAAUUGCUUUGGAUACUGCCGCGCUUGAGUGCAGGAGAGGUUAUCGGAAUUCCCGGUGUAGCGGUGAAAUGCGUAGAGAUCGGGAGGAACACCAGUGGCGAAGGCGGGUAACUGGGCUGGAACUGACGCUGAGGCGCGAAAGUGUGGGGAGCAAACAGGAUUAGAUACCCUGGUAGUCCACACUGUAAACGAUGAAUGCUAGGUGUAAGAGGUAUCGACCCCUUUUGUGCCGGAGUCAACACAAUAAGCAUUCCGCCUGGGGAGUACGGCCGCAAGGUUGAAACUCAAAUGAAUUGACGGGG